AACAAAUUAGUGCAACUUACUGUCUUAUUUAGUUUACUGCAUUUACCAGGUCAAAAUAAUUACUAGGUGAGGUUUGUUCACCUUAUAAAGUGGCCCGGAAGUUAGUAAUUUUAGGAGUAAGUUAGGUGAAAUAAAAUAUUAAAUUUAGGAGUUAUAUUUGUAGUAGGAGUCUAUAUAUACAAAGUAAAGUUGCUCUGUUUUCUCUUGUAAUUUUAGUCGCCAUAUUUUCUAUUCAAGAAAAAGCUUUCGGCUGUUUUAUUUUCCUUUACUGUUCUUGUUCUAUAACUUCUCCUGCUCAAUACUUUUAUUAUAUGGUAUCAGAGCAAGGUUGAAGGGAGGAAUUCUUUUUUCUUUUCUAUCUUCUUGUCUAUCAGUUUACUCUGUUGGAGAAGUUUGAAAAGUAUGAAGAGAAAGCUUUUGUCGUUCGUAGCAAUGGAGGCCUCAAAUGGGGGAAAUACUCAAUAUGGAAUAGAAAAACUUGUAGGCACUAACUACAAGUAUUGGAGAAUGUGUAUAGAAGCAUACCUUCAAGGUCAGGAUCUGUGGGAUUUAAUUGUAGGAAUUGAUUCAAUAAUCCCAGCCAAUACUCCUGAGAAUGCCGAAUCGCGAAGAAAAUGGAAGAUCAAGUGCGAAAAAACACUCUUUGCUUUGAGGACUUCUAUCAGCAAGGAGUUUAUUGAUCAUGUUCUUGAUAUUGUCUCUCUAAAAGAAGUUUGGGACAUGCUUGAAAGGCUGUUUACCAAAAAAAUACAUCAAGGUUGCAACUAUUGAGAAUGAGUUGGCAAUGUUACAACUGGGAGGUAUGUCUAUCUCAGAUUACUUUUUUUGAGUUAAAAGUAUUUGUGCUAAAAUUUCAGAGAUUGAUCUGGAAGAAAAGAUUAGUGAGUCGUGCCUAUGAUGCUAUCUUAUUCAUGGAUUGAAAAAGGAGUACGGUCCUUUUGUCACUUCUAUUCAAGGAUGGCCGUAACAACCAUCUGUUGAGGAAUUGGAGGACAUGCUUUCUAAUCAAGAAGUUUUAGCUAACCAAAUGGCUAAGAAUCUUUUAACUGAUGAUGUUCUAUUUUUUAAAGAGAAGCCAAACAAGAAGAAUACAUCAACUUGGAACAAAAAUAAAGAAGAAGAAACAACCACAGAAAAAGGUGGAAAUUCACAUAAUAACAAAAAGUGCUACAGAUGUGGGAAAAUUGGACACAUUAAGAAAAACAGUCGAGUAAAGCUUUCUAAAGCCAAUAUUGCGUGCACCAAUGACGGAAUGAGCAAAUGAAAUGGGAAUAAUGUUUUAGCAUCGAAGCUGUUGAACAAAAGUCUGCAUAAGAUUUUCUCAAUUAUGCUAACAACAAUAUGAGGGAAGAAUGGAUUAUUGAUUCAGGAUGCUCUCAUCAUGUCACUGGAGAUGAUUCUUUAUUCUCGAAGAUGUGAGAACAUCAUGGAGAUCAAGUCAUUAUCACAGAAGAUAAGUCAACAUAUCCAGUAGCAAAAGAAGGAGUUUUGACGAUUGAGGUUGCUGAUGAUAAAUCUAAAAGUAUCAAGUUGCAGGACAUUUAUCAUGUUCCAAGGUUUAAAGAAAAAUCUUAUCUCUGUUUCUCAAAUUACUGAUUUUGGAAAAUAUGUAUUGUUUGGUCCUGCUGAUGUGAAGGUGCUUGAAAAUGUAAAAGAAAUAUCUGCUGAUAUUAUUUUUACUGGCAAGAAGAAAGGCUCAUUUUUUAAUAUGUCAACAGGUGAAGCUUAUGUAAAGAAAACAAGCCAAACUGAUAGUGCCGCAAUUUGGCACGCUUGGUUGGGUCAUGUGGGCUACCAAAUGUUGCAGCAGAUUUCUUCUAGAAAGUUGGUAGAUGGCAUGCCAACUUUGAAGAAUGUACGCGAAGACAUGAUUUGUCAAGGCUGCUAAUAUGGAAAAUCUCAUCGUCUUCCUUUCAAAAGGUCAUCAAAUUGGAGAAAUGUGCUGCUUGAAUUAGUUCAUACAGACUUGAUGGGACCAACAAGAACACCAAGUUAUAGUGGAAUCGCUAUGUUAUGGUGUUGGUGGAUGAUCACUCUAGGUUCACUUGGGUGAAAUUUUUUAGAGAGAAGAGCAAAGCAUUAUCCAAGUUUGUGGAGUUCAAAAAUGUUGUUGCAAAUGAGUUCGGGAAGAAGAUAAAAUGUCUUCGUAGUGAUAAUGGUGGGGAAUAUAUGUCAUAUGACUUCUUCCAGUACUGUCAUGACAACAGAAUUCUUCGUCAAAUGACUUGUCCAGAUACUCCUCAACAGAAUGGAGUUACGGAAAGAAAGCUUGUUUAUCUUACUUCAGUUUGUCUUUCAUGGCUGCAUGACAAGAAUCUUCCUCGAGAGCUUUGGGCAGAAGCUAUUCAAUGUGGAUGCCACGUGACAAAUAGGCUGCCUCAUUGGCCAGGUACACAGAAAUCGCCUUUUGAACUUUUAUAUAGUCAGAAGCCAAAUGUGAACUAUUUUCGGGUUUUUGGUUCUACUUGUUAUGUUCAUGUUCCCAGAACUAACAGAACAAAACUUGAUCCGAAAGCAAGAAAAUGUGUAUUUGUUGGUUAUGAUUAUUAUAGGAAGGGCUGGAGAUGCAUGGAUCCAAAGACAAACAGGUUUACCAUUCUAGAGAUGUGGUAUUUGAUGAAAUGUCAUCUUUGUUUUCUUCUCAAAAGCUUAUUGUUCUGGGUGAUGAUCAAGAUAAUAUGGAGUUAUUAUUUCCUAAAGUAAAUGUGUUAUCACCUUGUAGUGAAGAGGGAGAAAAUGUAUCGCCAAAUCAGAAUAUUUCAGAAGUUGCAUCUCUAAGUCAGAACAUUUCAAGGUAAGGAAAUGGUGAACAACAAGUAACAAGAAGGUCAACAAGGGAGAAAAAGCAACCGGACUACCUCAAAGAUUAUGAGGUCAAACUUAAAAGUUAUUUUGUGACCUCGUGUUUCUUUACAAGAGCACUAACUACGGAAGAACCAUUAAGUUAUGAAGAAGCAAAGGGCCGUCCACAUUGGGAAAGAGAGAUGNNNNNNNNNNNNNNNNNNNNACAAGAAUGAAACUUGGGAAUUGGUACCCAAACCAGAAAAAUGCAAUCCAGUCACUUGCAAAUGGGUAUUUCGAUUGAAAAAAAAAUCUGAUAGUACCAUUGAUAGGUUUAAAGCUCGUCUAGUUGCUCGUGGUUUUUCUCAAAACUAUGGAUUGGAUUAUGAGGAGAUGUUUAGUUCGGUAGCGAAGAUGGUAAUAGUAAGAUCACUUAUUUCGCUAGCUAUUUUCAAAAGUUGAAAACUGUGGCAGCUUGAUGUAAAGAAUGCAUUUCUUUAUGGAGAGUUGGAUCGAGUAGUAUUUAUUUUGCAACCUCAUGACUUUGUCUCUAAGCAGUUUCCAAGUCAUAUUUGUCGUUUGAAGAAAGCUCUAUAUGAGCUCAUGCAAGCACCAUGAGCUUGGUAUGGUAAAGUUGCUCAAUACCUUAUCUUUUGUGGUUUUAGAGUAUCUGAUUCAAAUUUUAGUUUAUUUAUAAAAUUAGAAUCAAAUGCAUAUCUCCUGAUAUUGUUAUACGUUGAUGAUAUGAUAAUAACUGAAAAUAAUGAAUUAGCAAUUUCUAAUCUAAGAAAAGAUUUGUCUGUUCGUUUUGAGAUGAAAAUUUUAGGGUAAACUAGAUAUUUUCUUGGUUUGGAAGUGGAAAAAUCAGAUCGAGGCUACUUUGUUUCUCAGAAAGGUUAUGUGGAGAGUCUCUUAGAAUUUUUCAUCAUGGGGGAGUCGAAAGAAAAUUCUACUCUAAUGGAUCCAAAUCUCAAGUUGAAGAAGAAUGAAAGCGAGGCUUUGAAGGAUGCGAUAAAGUUCCGACAACUAGUUAGAAGUUUGAUUUAUCUGACUAUCACAAGGCCAGAAAUAUCUUACUCUGUUAGUGUCAUUUCUCAAUUUAUGCAAAAUCCAACAACUUCUCACUUAAAUGCCGCAAAGAGGAUUUUGCGCUAUGUGAAAGGAUCUCUUAGUCAUGGACUUUGGUACAAGAGGUGUGAUACUUUUUUAUUGAGUGGAUUUAAUGAUGCAAAUUGGGCAGAUGAUACACAUGAUCGUCGCUCGACUUCAGGUUACUGUUUUAGUACCGGGUCAGCAGUGGUGUCUUGGUGCAGCAAGAAGCAAGAUGUUGUUUCUUUGUCUACCACUGAAGUUGAAUAUAUUGCAGUAACCAUGGCUGCACAAGAGUGCAUUUGGUUGAAAAGGCUAAUCAAUGAUAUGUACCAGAAAGUAGACUAUGCUGGGCAAAUCAAGUGUGACAAUGGAAGUGUCAUCAAACUUGCGUCAAAUCCAGUUUUUCAUGCUCGAACGAAGCAUAUUGAGAUCCGCCAUCACUUUGUUCGUGAGAAAGUCUUAAGUGAAGAGAUUGAAUUGACAACUGUUUGCACCAACGCUCAAGUUGCGGAUAUAUUCACUAAAGCUUUGGAGAAGUCUAAGUUUCAAUACUUUCGAGAUGCUCUGGGAGUAGGUCAUCGUGAGCUUGCACUAAGGGGGAGUGUAACAAAUUAGUGCAACUUAUUAUCUUAUUUAGUUUACUGCAUUUACCAGGUCAAAAUAAUUACUAGGUGAGGUUUGUUCACCUUAUAAAGUGGCCUGGAAGUUAGUAAUUUUAGGAGUAAGUUAGGUGGAAUAAAACGUUAAAUUUAGGAGUUAUAUUUGUAGUAGGAGUCUAUAUAUACAGAGUAAAGUUGCUCUGUUUUCUCUUGUAAUUUC
rnacentral:lncRNA from 1 species